CAGCCGCCGCGGGAAUACGGAGGGCGCGAGCGUUACCCGGAUUUACUGGGCGUAAAGGGCGUGUAGGCGGCCUGGGGCGUCCCAUGUGAAAGGCCACGGCUCAACCGUGGAGGAGCGUGGGAUACGCUCAGGCUAGAGGGUGGGAGAGGGUGGUGGAAUUCCCGGAGUAGCGGUGAAAUGCGCAGAUACCGGGAGGAACGCCGAUGGCGAAGGCAGCCACCUGGUCCACUUCUGACGCUGAGGCGCGAAAGCGUGGGGAGCAAACCGGAUUAGAUACCCCCGUAGUCCCUGUCUCUUAUAA
rnacentral:rRNA from 1 species